rnacentral:rRNA from 1 species
AGAGUUUGAUCCUGGCUCAGGACGAACGCUGGCGGCGUGCUUAACACAUGCAAGUCGAACGAUGAAAGUCGUUUUGAUAUCUUCGGAUUGAUAAACUUCUGGAUUAGUGGCGGACGGGUGAGUAACGCGUGAGCAAUCUGCCUUACACAAAGGGAUAGCCUCGGGAAACCGGGAUUAAUACCAUAUGAUAUCUACAAGCCGCAUGGCCUAUAGAUUAAAGAACUUCGGUGUAAGAUGAGCUCGCGUCCCAUUAAUUAGUUGGUGAGGGUAACGGUCCACCAAGAUAGCGAUGGGUAGCCGAUCUAAGAGGAUGACCGGCCACAUUGGAACUGAGAAACGGUCCAAACUCCUACGGGAGGCAGCAGUGGGGAAUAUUGCACAAUGGGGGAAACCCUGAUGCAGCGACGCCGCGUGAGCGAUGAAGGCUUUCGAGUCGUAAAGCUCUGUCCUAUGGGAAGAUAAUGACGGUACCAUAGAAGAAAGCCCCGGCUAAUUACGUGCCAGCAGCCGCGGUAAUACGUAAGGGGCGAGCGUUGUCCGGAAUUAUUGGGCGUAAAGAGUGCGUAGGCGGCAAAUUAAGUCAGAUGUGAAAACUAAGGGCUCAACCCAUAGAUUGCAUCUGAAACUGAUAUGCUUGAGUCAAGGAGAGGAAAGUGGAAUUCCUAGUGUAGCGGUGGAAUGCGUAGAUAUUAGGAGGAAUACCGGUGGCGAAGGCGACUUUCUGGACUUGAACUGACGCUGAGGCACGAAAGCGUGGGGAGCAAACAGGAUUAGAUACCCUGGUAGUCCACGCCGUAAACGAUGAGUGCUAGGU